rnacentral:rRNA from 1 species
GUGUAGCAAUACAUGCUGACGAGCGGCGAACGGGUGAGUAAUGCUUCGGAAUCUGCCCAGUAGUGGGGAACAACCAGCCGAAAGGUUGGCUAAUACCGCAUACGCCCUACGGGGGAAAGCAGGGGACUCUUUUAGAGCCUUGCACUAAUGGAUGAGCCUAGGUCGGAUUAGCUAGUUGGUGGGGUAAAGGCCUACCAAGGCGACGAUCCGUAGCGGGUCUGAGAGGAUGAUCCGCCACACUGGAACUGAGACACGGUCCAGACUCCUACGGGAGGCAGCAGUGGGGAAUAUUGGACAAUGGGCGCAAGCCUGAUCCAGCCAUGCCGCGUGUGUGAAGAAGGCCUUUUGGUUGUAAAGCACUUUAAGCGAGGAGGAGGCUACCUGUAUUAAUACUAUAGGAUAGUGGACGUUACUCGCAGAAUAAGCACCGGCUAACUCUGUGCCAGCAGCCGCGGUAAUACAGAGGGUGCGAGCGUUAAUCGGAAUUACUGGGCGUAAAGCGCGCGUAGGCGGUUUGUUAAGUCGGAUGUGAAAUCCCCGGGCUCAACCUGGGAAUUGCAUUCGAUACUGGCAAGCUAGAGUAUGGGAGAGGAAGGUAGAAUUCCAGGUGUAGCGGUGAAAUGCGUAGAGAUCUGGAGGAAUACCGAUGGCGAAGGCAGCCUUCUGGCCUAAUACUGACGCUGAGGUGCGAAAGCAUGGGGAGCAAACAGGAUUAGAUACCCUGGUAGUCCAUGCCGUAAACGAUGUCAACUAGCCGUUGGGGGAUUUGAUCCUUUAGUGGCGCAGCUAACGCGAUAAGUUGACCGCCUGGGGAGUACGGUCGCAAGACUAAAACUCAAAUGAAUUGACGGGGGCCCGCACAAGCGGUGGAGCAUGUGGUUUAAUUCGAUGCAACGCGAAGAACCUUACCUGGUCUUGACAUAGUGAGAAUCCUGCAGAGAUGCGGGAGUGCCUUCGGGAAUUCACAUACAGGUGCUGCAUGGCU